rnacentral:rRNA from 1 species
GCGCACCAGGCGAGAAAACUUCACACUGUGCGAAAGCACGAUGAGGGAAUCCCAAGUGCUUGCACGUAAGUGUAAGCUGUUCCUCUGUCUAAAACGCAGAGAGAGUAAGGGCUGGGUAAGACGGGUGCCAGCCGCCGCGGUAAUACCUGCAGCUCAAGUGGUGACCGUUAUUAUUGGGGCCUAAAACGUCCGUAGCCGGUUUAAUAAAUGCCUGGGUAAAUUGUGUAGCUUAACUAUACGAAUUCCGGGUAGACUGUUAAACUUGAGACCGGGAGAAGUUAGAGGUACUCCUGGGGUAGAGGUGAAAUUCUGUAAUCCUAGGGGGACCACCAGUGGCGAAGGCGUCUAACUAGAACGGGUCUGACGGUGAGGGACGAAGCCCUGGGGCGCAAACGGGGAUUAGAUACCCCGGUAGU